rnacentral:rRNA from 1 species
AUCAACGCUGGCGGCGUGCCUACAGACAUGCAAGUCGAACGAUAAGUGAGCAUCCUAGGGAAGUGUACAGUGGCGUACCGGGUGAGUAACACGUGACGUAAUCCUACCUCGAGUGGGGAAUAACAUCCGGGAAACCGAUGCUAAUACCGCAUAAUCAGCGGCAUCGAAGAUGCAAAGUCGUAAAGGAGCAAUCGCUUGAAGGAGGAGUUCGCGGCAUGAUUAGCUAGUUGGUAAGGGUAACUGGCCUACCAAGGCUAAGAUCUGUAUCCGGUCUAAGAGGGCGCUACGGACACACUGACACUGAAUAACGGGUCAGACUCCUACGGGAGGCAGCAGUGGGGAAUUUGCGGCAAUGGGAAAGCCCUGACCCAGCAACGCCGCGUGAAGGAUGAAGUCCUUGGGAAUGUAAACCUUCGAAGCCUGGAAGAAUAACUGACGGUACCGAUAUAAGAGUCCGGCUAACUACUGUGCCAGCAGCCGCGGUAAUACGUAGGGUGACCAGCGUUGUUCGGAUUUAUUGGGCGUAAAGGGCGCGUAGGCGGUGCAUGUCAAGUCAGCCUGUGAAAUCUCCGGGCUCAACUCGGGAUACUGUCAGGCUGAUACUGCCUUGCUAGAGUUGGGAAGAGGCAAUGAGUGAAUUCCUCGGUGUAGCGGUGAAAUGCGUAGAUAUCGAGAGGAACACCUGUGGCGAAAGCGGCUCACUGGACCACAACUGACGCUGAGGCGCGAAAGCUAGGGGAGCAAACAGGAUUAGAUACCCUGGUAGUCCUAGCCCUAAACUAUGGAUGCUUGGUGUGAUGGGUACCCAAUCCCAUCGUGCCGAAGCUAACGCGAUAAGCAUCCCGCCUGGGAGUACGGUCGCAAGGCUGAAACUCAAAGGAAUUGACGGGGGCCCGCACAAGCGGUGGAGCAUGUGGUUCAUUCGACGCAACGCGAAGAACCUUACCUGGGCUCGAAAUGGAGUGGAAUCCGGUGGAAACAUCGGCGCCCGCAAGGGCCGCUCUAUAGGUGCUGCAUGGCUGUCGUCAGCUCGUGUCGUGAGAUGUUGGGUUAAGUCCCGCAACGAGCGCAACCCUUAUCGUUAGUUGCCACCGGGUCAAGCCGGGCACUCUAGCGAAACCGCCUCGGAUAACGGGGAGGAAGGUGGGGAUGACGUCAAGUCCUCAUGGCCUUUAUGUCCAGGGCUACACACGUGCUACAAUGGUCGGUACAAACCGUCGCAAACCCGCGAGGGGGAGCUAAUCGGAAAAAGCCGGCCUCAGUUCGGAUUGGAGUCUGCAACUCGACUCCAUGAAGCUGGAAUCGCUAGUAAUCGCAGAUCAGAACGCUGCGGUGAAUACGUUCCCGGGCCUUGUACACACCGCCCGUCACAUCACGAAAGUGGACUGCACUAGAAGCCGGUGAGCUAACCGCAAGGGAGCAACCGUCCAAGGUAUGGUUCAUGAUUGGGGUG